rnacentral:sRNA from 1 species
GCGGGGAGGUGAGGGGGCUUGGGGAGCCUCGCCUGAGAGAGUGAGGGGCCAGCAGCCUCCCCCGAUGGGUCAUCAGCAACGAGGGUGCCUCAGGAUGUGACGCAGGGCCCUGGGGCCACAGGUGGAAAGGAGGACAGCGGGAUGAUUCCCUUAGCAGGCACCGCCCCUGGGGCUGAGGGGCCGGCGCCUGGGGACUCCCAGGCUGUGCGCCCCUACAAGCAGGAGCCCAGCAGCCCCCCGCUGGCGCCUGGCCUGCCCGCCUUCCUAGCGGCCCCGGGCACCACGUCCUGCCCCGAGUGCGGCAAAACGUCCCUGAAACCAGCUCACCUGCUGCGCCACCGGCAGAGCCACUCGGGCGAGAAGCCGCACGCCUGCCCUGAGUGCGGGAAGGCCUUUCGGCGCAAGGAGCACCUGCGGCGCCACCGCGACACGCACCCCGGCAGCCCCGGCAGCCCCGGGCCCGCGCUGCGCCCUCUGCCCACCCGUGAGAAGCCCCACGCGUGCUGCGAGUGUGGCAAGACCUUCUACUGGCGCGAGCACCUGGUGCGCCACCGCAAGACGCACUCGG